CCAUCAAUUUUAGAUGCAAGUGGGAUAAUCAUAGUACAUGUAGUAGUGUAGGCUUUUUUGUUGGAUCCCACUAGCACUAGCUACUUUGGCUGUGUUUGAUAGAAUCAAUGCUAUUAUGUCCUUCAUCUUGUCUGGGUGUUUUAAUUUGGAGAAAGGCAAAAAAUGGGGGAAAAUUUGAAAAAUAAAGUGUAUUGGAGUUUUUUUUCAGGAUUGAAUUCUCUUGCAAGAAAUUAUAGAGAUCACUAUGCAUCUAUGUGAUUACAUCUUAAGAUUCUAAAAAAGAAAAAGUUGCAGCAUCUCAGGACAGGUAAUUUAUUUAUCUAUUAUUAUUAUUUUUCUCACUGAGAUCAAGCAGAACUGCAUGGGAGAGACAUAAUAUUUGUAUUCCUAGUCCAACAAAUGUUUAUCUGUUCAUGAACUUCUAUUGUACAUGGGUUUUCUUGAUUUGAUGUACUCAAGACUCGCUAUGCUAUGAAGAUUAAUAAAUAAUGGUUUUAAAUUUUGUAUCUCAAAAUGUGUCACAAAUACACAUUAACAUUACACUGGUAUAUGCAAUAAUUGGUAAGGACCCAGCAUGAUGUUCAACAAUGAAUGUAAUUACUACAUGUGUAUUUUAGAUACAUUUUGCGACCCCUCAAUAUUAUAUUUUUCCAAUUGCAGGAGUAUAUAAUUAUUGGUACUCCAAUCAUAUUCGUUCGAAAAGUUCAAAUUGCUCGGGCUCAGUUCGAGAUCAAAACAAACCUCAAUCAAAUCUUAUUUUAUCUGAGUAAGUCAAUAUUCGGCUCGACUCGACUCGGUUGAUUCUUAUUUAUGGCUGAAUUGAAAAUUAAUGGACGAUUUUUUUUUAAUUUGUUGGUUUUUAAUAUUGUGGCCUCAGAAGUGGUUGAGAAUUGAAGUCUACUUUUACCAUUUUUGUUAUAUAGAUGUAAGAAGAGAUUAUUUGUGGUGAUGAACUUGUGAUUAUCUCUUGAUUUUCAGGUAUGAGCAUCUUCUAAAUAGUGCCGGUGCAGCUGUGAUAAUACUGAAAAGGCCUGGCUAUAUAUAUACAAAGUGUUUGUGAGUCAUCUUGUUCAAUCAAAUCUUGAAAUGGGCCAGAUAAUGCUGUUUAUGAUUCAUCUUGUUCCCUUCUUUCCACAAAGUCUUUGCCAAGAUCAUGACAUCCAUUUACUCUUAUUCUUAUACGUCAGAUGUUGAACAUUUACUUUUGUCUAUGGACUUGUAUUUUAGUUAUCUCCUUUCAUCUCUUUUAUUUUAAAAUAUAUUUGUUAUUUAAUGGAAUUUAUUUUCAAUACCCUAACUAGUUU
rnacentral:lncRNA from 1 species